GUAGCUGGUCUGAGAGGAUGACCAGCCACACUGGAACUGAGACACGGUCCAGACUCCUACGGGAGGCAGCAGUGGGGAAUAUUGGACAAUGGGGGAAACCCUGAUCCAGCAAUGCCGCGUGUGUGAAGAAGGCCUGAGGGUUGUAAAGCACUUUCAGUGGGGAGGAGGGAUGAUAGGUUAAGAGCCAAUUAUUUGGACGUUACCCACAGAAGAAGCACCGGCUAACUCCGUGCCAGCAGCCGCGGUAAUACGGAGGGUGCGAGCGUUAAUCGGAAUUACUGGGCGUAAAGAGUGCGUAGGUGGUUAAUUAAGUUAUCUGUGAAAUCCCUGGGCUUAACCUGGGCAGGUCAGAUGAUACUGAUUGACUCGAGUACGG
rnacentral:rRNA from 1 species